rnacentral:rRNA from 1 species
UUUAUGGAGAGUUUGAUCCUGGCUCAGGAUGAACGCUGGCGGCGUGCCUAAUACAUGCAAGUCGAGCGAACGGACGAGAAGCUUGCUUCUCUGAUGUUAGCGGCGGACGGGUGAGUAACACGUGGAUAACCUACCUAUAAGACUGGGAUAACUUCGGGAAACCGGAGCUAAUACCGGAUAAUAUUUUGAACCGCAUGGUUCAAAAGUGAAAGACGGUCUUGCUGUCACUUAUAGAUGGAUCCGCGCUGCAUUAGCUAGUUGGUAAGGUAACGGCUUACCAAGGCAACGAUGCAUAGCCGACCUGAGAGGGUGAUCGGCCACACUGGAACUGAGACACGGUCCAGACUCCUACGGGAGGCAGCAGUAGGGAAUCUUCCGCAAUGGGCGAAAGCCUGACGGAGCAACGCCGCGUGAGUGAUGAAGGUCUUCGGAUCGUAAAACUCUGUUAUUAGGGAAGAACAUAUGUGUAAGUAACUGUGCACAUCUUGACGGUACCUAAUCAGAAAGCCACGGCUAACUACGUGCCAGCAGCCGCGGUAAUACGUAGGUGGCAAGCGUUAUCCGGAAUUAUUGGGCGUAAAGCGCGCGUAGGCGGUUUUUUAAGUCUGAUGUGAAAGCCCACGGCUCAACCGUGGAGGGUCAUUGGAAACUGGAAAACUUGAGUGCAGAAGAGGAAAGUGGAAUUCCAUGUGUAGCGGUGAAAUGCGCAGAGAUAUGGAGGAACACCAGUGGCGAAGGCGACUUUCUGGUCUGUAACUGACGCUGAUGUGCGAAAGCGUGGGGAUCAAACAGGAUUAGAUACCCUGGUAGUCCACGCCGUAAACGAUGAGUGCUAAGUGUUAGGGGGUUUCCGCCCCUUAGUGCUGCAGCUAACGCAUUAAGCACUCCGCCUGGGGAGUACGACCGCAAGGUUGAAACUCAAAGGAAUUGACGGGGACCCGCACAAGCGGUGGAGCAUGUGGUUUAAUUCGAAGCAACGCGAAGAACCUUACCAAAUCUUGACAUCCUUUGACAACUCUAGAGAUAGAGCCUUCCCCUUCGGGGGACAAAGUGACAGGUGGUGCAUGGUUGUCGUCAGCUCGUGUCGUGAGAUGUUGGGUUAAGUCCCGCAACGAGCGCAACCCUUAAGCUUAGUUGCCAUCAUUAAGUUGGGCACUCUAAGUUGACUGCCGGUGACAAACCGGAGGAAGGUGGGGAUGACGUCAAAUCAUCAUGCCCCUUAUGAUUUGGGCUACACACGUGCUACAAUGGACAAUACAAAGGGCAGCGAAACCGCGAGGUCAAGCAAAUCCCAUAAAGUUGUUCUCAGUUCGGAUUGUAGUCUGCAACUCGACUACAUGAAGCUGGAAUCGCUAGUAAUCGUAGAUCAGCAUGCUACGGUGAAUACGUUCCCGGGUCUUGUACACACCGCCCGUCACACCACGAGAGUUUGUAACACCCGAAGCCGGUGGAGUAACCUUUUAGGAGCUAGCCGUCGAAGGUGGGACAAAUGAU